AUUGAACGCUGGCGGCAUGCCUUACACAUGCAAGUCGAACGGCAGCACGGGUGCUUGCACCUGGUGGCGAGUGGCGAACGGGUGAGUAAUACAUCGGAACGUACCUUAUCGUGGGGGAUAACGCAGCGAAAGCUGUGCUAAUACCGCAUACGCCCUGAGGGGGAAAGCGGGGGAUCGCAAGACCUCGCGCGAUUAGAGCGGCCGAUGCCUGAUUAGCUUGUUGGUGGGGUAAAAGCCCACCAAGGCGACGAUCAGUAGCUGGUCUGAGAGGACGAUCAGCAACACUGGGACUAAAAGACGGCCGAGACUCAUACGGGAGGCGGGAGUGGGGAAUUUUGGACAAUGGGGGCAACCCUGAACCAGAAAUGCCGCGUGAGUGAAGAAGGCCUUCGGGUGGUAAAGCGCUUUUGUCAGGGAAGAAACACCGGCUCUAACACAGUCUGGGAAUGACGGUACCUGAAGAAUAAGCACAGGCUAACUACGUGCCAGCAGCCGCCGUAA
rnacentral:rRNA from 1 species